rnacentral:rRNA from 1 species
CCUACGGGAGGCAGCAGUGGGGAAUAUUGCUCAAUGGGGGAAACCCUGAUGCAGCGACGCCGCGUGAGUGAAGAAGUAUUUCGGUAUGUAAAGCUCUAUCAGCAGGGAAGAAAAUGACGGUACCUGAUUAAGAAGCCCCGUCUAUCUACGUGCCAGCAGCCGCGGUAAUACGUAGGGGGCUAGCGUUAUCUGGAUUUGAUGAGUUUAAAGGGUGCGUAGUCGGCAGCCAAAGUCUGGAGUGAAAUGUCGGGGCUUAACCCCGGAACUGCUUUGGAAACUGUGCAGCUAGAGUGCGGGAGAGGUAAGUGGAAGUCGUAGUGAAGCGGUAAGAUGCGGAGAUAUUAGGAGGAACAGCAGUGGCGAAGGCGGCUUACUGGACUGUAACUGACGUUGAUGCUCGAAAGCGUGGGGUGCAAGCAGGAUUAGAUACCCCAGUAGAA